UGUUAAAACAUACAAUAAAACACAUUAGCGCUCUACCAAUGUCUAUGAAUUAUGAGCUGACAUGACAGAGAUUUAAGAAGAGUGUGUAAGUUAGUAUUGUGUUUACACUCUAUAAAUCCUCCUUUGUGUUGCUAUUUAAAGUCAGUCUGUCUCUCUAAGUGUGAAAGUGCUUACUGUGUCAACAGCAAUGGAAAAUACAAUAAAUAAAAUUGCCAACAAAAUUGAUGUAAAUGAAAUCUAGUUAAUUAUUCCAUAUGCAAGUUUUAAGUGAGUAAUUACUUGCAUUACUGUGCUAACUAGCUGAAGAGGCUAGUCGGCCGAUAAUAUAUAUAAUAUUUAUUUUAAGGUGAAGUAGUUACAUUGUAAUUAGAAAAAGCUCUGGGUAAUAUUAAUUAAUUAAUAAAAACAAUAAAACAAUGUAUGGUUAAAGUCCCCCUGUAAUCAAUUAUUUUAUCCCUUAAAACUCAUCUUUGAUCACCAAAAUGACAUAUUUUUAAAAACAAUUCAAGUGAAAAAAAUUCUUAAUGCAUUAUAAUAGCUUGAAUGUAACUCUACACCCUUGCCUCAUUUAAUAUACACGGAACAAUGAAUAUGCAAAUUCGCUCACGCCAGCUCGGAGAGUCUAGUGUUGCUAUAGUGAUGAGAAAUUUGUUGUUUGUGUUGUGGCUACAUGAAAUACAUGCACAUCCUUGAAUGAUCCUUCUCACUGUUGAGAAUCGGGCCGCCCAAGAACACGAUUAUGAAUAUUCUGAAUAAAGAUAUGCAUUAGACAUAGUUUAGCGUCAUUGUGAGCAAGAGAUAAACACAUAAACAUUAAAUCAGUACAAUUCACGAACGCCGUAAACAGACUGACAUGUCGAAAACAGCGAGUGCAGCUUCAGCAUCCGGUCUAGUGUUUGUGUGUGAGCGUGGAUCAGGAUUACAACCGCUCAAAAAAAAAACAUGAUUAAAUUAUAUGUAAAGAAUAAAAUGAAUUAUAAAAACAUGUAUGGCUAAAAAUCUCUGUUGUUUUCUGCUGGUAUCUGAGCACGUGGCAUGGACUCCUGACGCUCAGCUUACUGUCCUCAGGUCGAGGCAUUUGCUGGUACUGUGUGUGACAGAAGCAGAGAGACUGUAUGAAUGUUGUGUGUUUUGUAUGAUGACACACACUGUCCCAAACUGGUGCAGAGGUGGGCGAAGGGAACUCUCCAGCACGGGUCCUCUUUAUAAAGAGGGUCUCCAUUUAUCUGUUGAUGCAAUGAAAAUAAAAUCUCAUAUUAGACUCAGACGGUCUGUGUGGCAAGAAUAACUGGAGCUGACACAGGCAGGAACGCUUCAGCUGUAACACACACAAAAGCGUGAUUAUCAGGUCUAAGCCCAAAAGAUCCAGUACUACACACCUGUGGAAGGGAAAUCAGAUGCACCUUCUCACCGUGACAGAUAAAGACACAUUGAAAGAAAUGCCAGUAUGAGAAGAAGAAAAUGAAUUUAAAGGUGCUCUAGAUUGUAAAAUUGUAAAAAAAAAAAAAAAAAAAAAAGAAAAAAAAAAAAAGAGGUGUAUUCUCAUUCCUAGAUGUACAACAUUCUUUCAGGAGAGCUGUUAAUGUGUCUUUUAUGGGAAUAUACUGGGCAUGUCACUCCUUUCUGUUUUCAUCAAUCCCCCCAAAAAUGCAUUUUGGAUCCACAAAAGUUAUCAAAGUACUGUUUUCUCUGUUAUCCAUGCCAUCUAGGGUUUUCAAAACAUCUUCAAUUUCUGUCUCAGAGAGUUUAGUUUUUGUUUGAAGAGCUACUUUUAGUUGAUUCUUUGUGUACUGCUGGCACACUCCACUAACUUAUUAAUCUCUUCUAUGAUUAACUGUACUGUGGAGGAAGGGAUCAGGUGCUUCGCCUGCAACUUCAUGUAAAACAUGGACAGAUUUCUCAUAUAUAAGCUCUUCAUUUGUGCAGGGUCUAGUAUAUCCUCCUCACCCCAUCAUCAUCUGCCCCUUCAUCUGAGUGUCUUUCAGCAACAGAGAACUGAAGGAAGACCGUGAAGACAUGCGAAGCUGUAGAGUAUUUGUGCUUUCUAGAUAGGUGAGAUGUGAAAGAUGAUUUCACUGAAAAUGAGCGAUCACAGUUUUUGAAGGGGCAAUGCACCUGCUCUCUUUCUGAAAUGUGAAAUUUGAGGUUACCCAAAAGAUCUGAAAGAUCGAUCAACUGUCUCCGACAGUUGGUAACUUCACAUUGAAGGGUCCCUGCAGAGACUCGCACUGUGACGCAGAAGAUGACUGCCGAUGAUGACGGUAAACAUGACAAAUUUAAUGUGUUGUAAUUUCUGAAGCGUGACUUGCAACCUGCAUAGAGGUAAUGUGCCUUAUUUCUUUGUAGCCCUUGAUGUUGUACAUAACCUUUUAGGAUUUUCACAGAAACACUACAACUAUUACAAGUGUAAUCUGCAAACAUCUUUACAUGGUGCAGUGAUCACCUUUUGCCCCGAUCUUGACUUUGGCAGCUCACACAACUUAUCUGCAGUGUUGCGAUCACAAAGGAUCACUACAAAUAAGGAGAAGAUGAGUACAUUCAUCUUGCGAAAUAUCUGAGCUUUAUUUUACAUUCAUGCUUAAAAUGAUCUGGGCUUUAGCCAUGUAUGGAGACGAAGAGCUAAAAACAGCCACCAAAUCUGGAGCAGAACAGCCACCAACAGGAAUGAUCUGUUUUUGUAGGGAGCAACGAACACCUAGAAGCCGGUGCUCCCAAUCACGCCACAAUCAGCCCGUCACCUGCAAACAAUAUAGACACAACACACAAAACAAGGAACGGCCAACAGGGGCAUCACGGCAGGAAGAGACAAAAACAAGCAUGCAAGUGUAUGGGACAUGUUAAGAAUAAAAAAAAAAUCCAAAGUAAUAUAUUGAAAAAUGCAUUGUAUCUAAAGCACUGAAUGCUAUCCGUGUAACCAGUGAAUCCCUAUCAGUUUAUGUGCUCCUGUUUCUGUGUGUGCUUCAGUGACUGCAACUAUUUAAUUUAGAGCAGUGAUUAAAGUUAUUGAGUAAUGAGAAUUUGUUACAUGUGUAUAAUAACUGUAGUCCAGAGUGAAGUGACUGCGUGUGUGCAAUGAAAAAGUCUUAAUGUUGAAACGGAGACCUCUGGUGGGGAGUGGAAAGAAGCAGCAGUGGGCGGAAACGUGACAGAAAGUGAUGUGGGAGACAGUAAUUGGUCUCCACUUUUGGAGCAAGACAAUGAAUGGUCAUCUUCUUUUGAAAAGGAUGUGUUGCCUGACAGUGACGCCGCAAUCACAAGUCAUCUGGUAAAGCCUGAGACUCAGCAGCUUGAAUGCAAAUCAGCGUUUCCUGAUCAUAAGGGCUCCUGUGAACAUUUGACAGCAGCUUUAAAGGAUGAAAACCUCAUGAAGAAAAGGAGUCUGAAUCUUCA